GUGCUCGGACGACGCACCCAACCCAAUGUGAACGUUACCAAACUGUUGCCUCGGCGGGAUCUCUGCCCCGGGUGCGUCGCAGCCCCGGACCAAGGCGCCCGCCGGAGGACCAACCAAAACUCUUUUUGUAUACCCCCUCGCGGGUUUUUUAUAAUCUGAGCCUUCUCGGCGCCUCUCGUAGGCGUUUCGAAAAUGAAUCAAAACUUUCAACAACGGAUCUCUUGGUUCUGGCAUCGAUGAAGAACGCAGCGAAAUGCGAUAAGUAAUGUGAAUUGCAGAAUUCAGUGAAUCAUCGAAUCUUUGAACGCACAUUGCGCCCGCCAGUAUUCUGGCGGGCAUGCCUGUCCGAGCGUCAUUUCAACCCUCGAACCCCUCCGGGGGGUCGGCGUUGGGGAUCGGCCCUCCCUUAGCGGGUGGCCGUCUCCGAAAUACAGUGGCGGUCUCGCCGCAGCCUCUCCUGCGCAGUAGUUUGCACACUCGCAUCGGGAGCGCGGCGCGUCCACAGCCGUUAAACACCCAACUUCUGAAAUGUUGACCUCGGAUCAGGUAGGAAUACCCGCUGAACUUAAGCAUAUCAAUAAUACGGAGGAA
rnacentral:rRNA from 1 species